GAGUAGUCUUAGUCUUAAUAUUUAGAUCUACUAUAAUUUAGAGUUAGACUAAUACUAGACUAGAUGUAGUAGUAGUCUAAGUAGUACUAUUAAUUACUAAACUAAUAGUAAUUGCUAAUAGUAUAGUACUACUAGGUAGUAGUAGUACUAUAACUAGUAGGCAUAACUAUAAUAAAUAUAUAGUAAUAGAUGAUUAAUUUAGAUCUAGUACUAGUACUAAUAGUAAUACUGUACUAUACUAUUAGUUACUAGAUCUAGACUGUACUAUGUCUGUAAUAUAGUAAAAUACUAAAAUUAGUAAAAUAAUAGAUCUAGUAAUUAAUAAGUAAUACUAACUUAUACUACUUAUAGUUGAGUUUGUAUAGACUAUAGUAAUAGUCUAGUUAUAAAUCUAUUAAUAGUAAAUAUUUAGGCCUAUACCCUUUAGAAUAUAGUAAUAUUAUUAAUAUUAUAGAUCUAUUAUGCUGAUUGCCUCCGAUACUAUUUAACUAUUAAGUAUUAAGUGAUAAGUCUAUAAUUAGUAUUAUCAUUUAUGAUUUUUAUUUGUGAUAUACUAUAGAUGUUACAUGUACAUCAGCUAUGUACUAUAAUGUACACUACUUAAAUUAUAACCAUAUACUUGAAAAAGUCAUAUAGAUUAGAUUAGAUCUAAAUCUAAGACACACUAAGACUUAGACUUACUUAGACUUAGGUCCUCCCGCGCCGUUCGGCGUAUUGGGCAGCAAGCUGUCUCCAUAAAGAUCUGUCGUUGGCAAUGUCUUAAGCCUCUUCCCACCUGGUGUCCACUGUUCUAAGGUCUUCUAUGAAGGUGUGGCGCCAAGUAAUAUGAGGACGUCCCUGUUUGCGCUUUCCUCGUAUUGGCCUCCAUGUCAUCGCCUUAUAUCCCACUCGCUAAAUUUUGGUCCUAUCUAAGUUUAUGCGGAGGCCAAUUUUGGGUGUUUCUCUAUCUAGACUCUCUGUCAUUUCUUGUAUGCCUUUAUUUGUAGCCCAGAGUAGUGCAAUGUCAUCAGCAAAGUCCAAGUCCAUUAUUCGAUUUUGUUCACGCCAUGGAAUACCAAAGGCAGUCUGGUUCAUUGCUCUCCUCAUUAUGUAGUCAAUGGCUAGGAGGAAAAGGAAGGGAGAUAAGAUGCACCCCUGUCUCACACCUGUCUCGAUGCUGAAAAACUCGGUUGUUCCUUCUUCUGUUUUAAUGCAGUAACUAGACUGACUGUAUAGGUGUCGUAGGAUCUAGACAAAUUUUUCUGGGAUGCCAUAUUCUCUAACUAUUUUCCAUAGUGAUUCUUUGAAGGGUGAAAAAUCUCUAGCUUUCAUUCCCCUCUAAAGAAGCUGAUUGUCUGUAUGCUUGAACUUUCAAGUAAAGAGUAGGCUAAAAAGCAUCCUGAAUCAAGAAUACUUUCAUCAUAUUAAAGACUGUUGGUAAAGAUGUUCUACUAGAAAUUAAUCACAACCUUAAAUAAUCUGUCAGCAAGUAGAUUGCUAAUGAGGUACCAAUAGAUGCACAUCAUAUCAGAUGUCACUUGUGGACCAGUUCCUGGAUCAUAUGAUAAUGCUAGAGCUGAAUAUGACAUCUGUUCCACCCCUGAAGUCUAGCACUUUAUCACUAGGAAAUCAUGCCCCCCUGACAAUUCAUUAGCUUAAGUGUCAAAGAAAACAGUCCAUGCUUUAGCCACAUUAGAGCAUCUUUUUGAUAGGCAAUGGUGCACUGGAAAGAUUUGUGCAGACUCAUCUUGUGGGUCAGCUCAUGAACAGAAUGAUACACACAAAAUGUCAGGAGGCAGGAUUGGUGAAGUGGGAAAUUCUCCAACCUGACUUUAUAAUUACUGAUGCAUUAAUCUUCUAUAAGUCCAGAAGUUUCCAGUCCAAGACAUUCUUAUUUGGAAGUGAAACAGAUUAAGAAACAAGAAAGUAAAGAGUGCGCUCCAGAACUCUACAUGUCACUGUGACAUUACCAUUAAGGUGAAGUUAUUGAUACAUUAUUCAACUUUCGUAGAAUGUCUUGUUUUGUUUGUGAAUUGUUUUAUCAUGACGUCAACAAAUGUUUUAGUUUUAUGUCGUGUACCGUCUUCGUAUUGCGCGCCUUUUAUAUUUUUAAAAUUUGUUUUGUUAUAAUUUUUAAAAGUUUUUUAUCCUUUCGGUGCUGUUUUUGGAUUUUUAUUUUUUGAAUUUGUUUUCUUAUAAUUUUUUGAAGUUUUUUAUCCUUUCAGUGCAGUUUUUGUUUAAAUCCUUUGGAGAAUAUGUCUAAUUCUUUGAGGUUUUUUCUUUUUCAGAAGUUUCCAGUCCAAGACAUUCUUAUUUGAAAGUGAAACGGGGAGAUCUUUUUGUUAUUUCCCUUUUUUUGUUUUAGAAAUGAUAUAUUUAAAUAUUUGUAGAUACUAGGUAGCCACAAAGUCAACAUUCCCUUUCAGACCUUGCAAUCUAUAGGGUAGAGAAUGUUCAAGUCAUCAGUUUCUGUGGCCCAUGGUUAAUGAGGGUGUCAUGUGGCCAGCACAACGAUCAAUUGCCUUUACUUUUGCCCAACUAAAGUAAGGUACCUAUUAGAGCUGGGUGGACUCAGAAGCGCCCAAAGAUCCUUAAAUUGAAAAUCCCAAUCUUCACAAAGAUUUGAACUCUAGACCUACAGUUCAGAAGUCAAGUGCUUAACGGCUCAGUCACUGCGUCUCCUAGUUAGCCCCAUGAAUUCUUAUAAAUAAUUUUGAAAUAAAGUUAUUCUCUCUUGGCAGAUCAACAUCUUUGUAUCAUUUUCAACACAAUGACCAUUCUUUUCUGUUUCAGAUUAAGAAACAAGAAAGUAAAGAGGGCGCUCCAGAACUCUACAUGUCACUGUGACAUUACCAUUAAGAAGUUUCCAGUCCAAGACAUUCUUAUUUGGAAGUGAAACAGGCCAUAAUGACAAGAUAAGAGAAAAUUUAUGGAUAGUGAAAUUCAUCAAUCAAUGGAACUUUAAUUUCCUGGAUAUUUGACAUGUUGCUUAUAAAUGUAUCAGUAUUAUUGUCUAAAGAUAUUAAAUUGAUAACAACCAA